rnacentral:rRNA from 1 species
CCUACGGGAGGCAGCAGUGAGGAAUAUUGGUCAAUGGGCGAGAGCCUGAACCAGCCAAGUCGCGAGAAGGAUGCAGGAUCUAUGGUUUGUAAACUUCUUUUAUAUGGGAAUAAAGUGAGGAACGUGUUCCUUUUUGUAUGUACCAUAUGAAUAAGCAUCGGCUAACUUCGUGCCAGCAGCCGAGGUAAUACUGUGGAUGCGAGCGUUAUCCGGAUUUCUUGGGUUUAAAGGGUGCGUAGGUGGUUAAUUAAGUUAGCGGGGAAAGUUUGUGGCUCAACCAUAGAAUUGACGUUGAAACUGGUUGACUUGAGGAUAUUUGCGGUAUGCGGAAUGCGUGGUGUAGCGGUGAAAUCCAUAGAUUUCACGCAGAACUCCGAUUGCGAAGGCAGCUUACUAAACUAUAACUGACACUGAAGCACGAAAGCGUGGGGAUCAAACAGGAUUAGAUACCCCUGUAGUC